rnacentral:rRNA from 1 species
GACGAACGCUGGCGGCGUGCUUAACACAUGCAAGUCGAACGGAAAGGCCCUGCUUUUUUUGGGUGCUCGGGUGGCGAACGGAUGAGUAACACGUGAGUAACCUGCCCUUGACUUUGGGAUAACUUCAGGAAACUGGGGCUAAUACCAUAUAGGAUCUCCUGCUGCAUUGUCGUGGUUGGAAAGUGUCGGCGGUUGUGUAUGGACUGGCGGCGUAUCAGCUUGUUGGUGGGGUAGUGGCUUACCACGGCUUUGACGGGUAGCCGGCCUGAGCGGGUGACCGGCCACAUUGGGACUGAGAUACGGCCCAGACUCCUACGGGAGGGCGCAGUGGGGAAUAUUGUAAAGUGGGGGGACGCCUGAUGCAGCAACGCCGCGUGCGGGAUGAAGGCCUUCGGGUUGUAAACCGCUUUCGCCUGUGAUGAAGCGUGAGUGACGGUAAUGGGUAAAGAAGCACCGGCUAACUACGUG